rnacentral:rRNA from 1 species
AUCUAUGGCCAUGCCACCCUGAACAUGCCCGAUCCCAUCUGAUCUCAGAAGCUAAACAGGGUCAGGCUUGGUUAGUACUUGGAUGGGAGACCACCUAGGAAGACCAGGUGCUGUAGGCG